CCCCUCUCAGGAUCGCAACUGGAGAGUUUUCAGUACUGUACCAAUUCCGGCUAUGGGAGGGAGAGUCAAGCAGAGAUAUACCCAUUUCAUUCCUAGCUUGGGCAGUAGCUAGAGAGAGGAAGGCAAUCUGCUACAAGU